CCCAGGCCACUUGUGCCAGCAGCAACUGGGGCCUGUCCCACCCACCAGCACUGCUAUAAACCCAGCCUGACUGCAGCAUUCCCUGGCCCCAGGGGCAUCUGCACACAGCCAUUCCUCUUGGCUUUGCUGCUGCCUGAACACCAAAGCCUUUGUCAGGGAGCUCUGUGAAGACCCAGGAGAGGCAGCAGCCAUGAAGAUCCUGUUCCUGCUCUUCCCCCUGAUCCUCCUGUUGGUCCAGGGUGCUGCAGGCAAUGCAGUUGUGUGCAGGCGACUACGGGGAUUCUGCUCCAGGCGUUCUUGCCCGUAUGGUACACGUUUUAUUGGAAGAUGUGCUGGAGGAUAUGUGUGCUGCAGGAGUCCCAGGGGCUGAGACCCUGAAAUUCCCAAGCAGGACAUGGCCCUCGCUUCUGGCUGCUAGACACAUCUCCUGAUGUCCCCAUCUCCUGAUGUCCCUGUCUGCUGAUGUCCCCUGCCCUGUGUACCUGUGCCAUGCCCAGCUGGGCUGACAGCAGCAGUGGCAGCUGCUCCUGCUGGGUGCUGCUGGGCUGGAGCCCUGUGGUGCCAGCCCCGGUGUCUUUGGGGCAGGGGCUGCUUUUCCUGGCUUGAAUAAAGACGAGCACUUUGGCAUUGCA